CCUACGGGUGGCAGCAGUGGGGAAUAUUGCACAAUGGGGGAAACCCUGAUGCAGCGACGCCGCGUGAGCGAUGAAGUAUUUCGGUAUGUAAAGCUCUAUCAGCAGGGAAGAAAAGGACGGUAUCUGACUAAGAAGCCCCGGCUAACUACGUGCCAGCAGCCGGCGUAAUACGUAGGGGGCAAGCGUUAACCGGAUUUACUGGGUGCAAAGGGAGCGGAGACGGCGGUGCAAGUCAGAUGUGAAAGCCUGGGGCUCAACCCCGGGACUGCAUUUGGAACUGGGCUGCUGGAGUGUCGGAGAGGCAGGCGGAAUUCCUAGUGUAGCAGUGAAAUGCGUAGAUAUUAGGAGGAACACCAGUGGCGAAGGCGGCCAGCUGGACGAUGACUGACGUUGAGGCGCGAAAGCGUGGGGAGCAAACAGGAUUAGAUACCCGGGUAGUC
rnacentral:rRNA from 1 species